GACAGAGGGUGCAAACGUUGCUCGGAAUUACUGGGCGUAAAGCGCGUGUAGGCGGAUCGCUAAGUCAGGUGUGAAAUCCCUGGGCUCAACCCGGGAACUGCAUCUGAAACUGGCAGUCUUGAGUGCUGGAGAGGGAAGCGGAAUUCCUGGUGUAGAGGUGAAAUUCGUAGAUAUCAGGAGGAACACCGGUGGCGAAGGCGGCUUCCUGGACAGUAACUGACGCUGAGACGCGAAAGCGUGGGGAGCAAAC
rnacentral:rRNA from 1 species